UAUGCGAACCUGGAUCCCACAAAGGGUGUUGGUCGAUUAAGACAGUAGGACGGUGGUCAUUGAAGUCGAAAUCUACUAAGGAGUGUGUAACAACUGACCUGCCGAAUCAACUAGCCCCAAAAAUGGAUGGAACUUAAGCACACGAACUACACUCGGCCAUCGGGGAAUAUUCCAGGCCCCGAUGAGUAGAAGGGUGCAACGGUCGCUACAAAACCUUAGGCACAAGACCGAGUGGAGCGGCCAUCGGUGCGAAUCUUAGUGGUAGUAGAAAAUAUUCAAAUAAGAAAUUUGAAGGCCGAAGAGGGGAAAGGUUCCAUGUGAAUAGAAAUUUCACCUAGGUUAGUCAAUCCUAAGGGUUGGGGGAACACCAACAGAUAACACAUUACGUGUGUACUACAAAAGGGAAUCAAAUUAAAAUUCCUAAAUCGGGAUGUGGCAGUCGACGGCAACAUUAGGAAGUAUAGAGAUGUCAGUGAGAGCCUUGCAAAUAUUUAUCUUUUCUAUUUAACAACCUGGCUGCCCUGGAAUCGGCUCGGCUGAAGGUAGGCUCUAGUGGUAGGAAAAGCACUGCAUGUCGCGUGGUGUAUGGUGUGCUCCUGGAGGCCUUUGAAAAUCCAUAGGACCAAAUUUCCUCCACUCCCAGUUGUACUCAUAACCGCAUCAGGUCUCCAAGGUGAACAACCUCUGGUCAAUGGAAUAAUAUAGGCAAGGUAAUUCAGAAAAAUAGAUCCCUAACUUUGGUUAAAGGAUUAGCUCUUAGGGCUGGGCAAAGGGGUCCCAGUCUCAAACCCAUCAGCUGUCGGUGGAUUACUUGAUCAGAUCCCAUGGAGAGAGUUGAUUGCCGCAUAAUGGUCGGGGGAUGGACUGGCACCUAGUUCGGGCAUAGGGGGUCCUUCUUUUUAAUUAAAACAAAGCAUUGCCAUGGUCACAACAGAUGUUCACACAAUGCGAUUUCUGCACAGUGCUCUGAAUUUCAAAGCGAAAAAAUUCAACCAAGCGCGGGAAAAUGUCAUGAGUAACUAUGACUGUCUUAAGGUAGCCAAAUGCCUCAUCAUCUAAUUAGUGAUGCACAUUAGUUGAUUAAUGAGAUUGUACUUGUCUACUGUCAAGCAAAACUACAGCCAAGGGAACAAGCUUGGUAGAAUCAGUAGAGAAAGAAGACCCUGUUGAGCUGGACUGUAGUCAAACUUUGUGAAAUGACUUCAGAGGUGUAGUAUAAGUAUGAUCCAAAAGGCGAGAUUGAAAUACCAAUAAUUUAACAUUAUUUUUCUGAUUUUGUGAAUUGAAAGUGGGGCACUACCCCUCUUUUCGGACCCAAACUCGCUCCGUGGGCAAAUCCAGGUGGAAGACAUUGUCAGGUAGGGAGUUUAGCUGGGGCAACAUAUCUGUUAAAAGAUUACGCGGGUUUCCUAAGAUGAGCUCAACGAGAAAAGAAAUCUUGUGUUGAAAAGAAGCGUAAAAGCUCAUUUCAUUAUGAUUUCUAGUAGUAAUACGAACCAUGAAAGCAUGGCCUAAUGAUCCAUUAGACCUUUGAAAUUCAGAGCUAGAGGUGUCAAAAAAGUUACCACAGGGAUAAAUAGCUUGAGGCAGCCAAGCUUUCAUAGCGACGUUGCUUUUUGAUCCUUUGAUAUUGGCUUUUCCUAUCAUUAUGAAAAACAAUUCAGCAAGUGUAGAUUUUUCACCCACCAAUAAGGAAUAUGAGCUGGGUUUAGACCAACAUGAGAUAGUUAGUUUUACCUUACUAAUGACAGUGCUACAAUAGUAAUUCAACCUAGUACGAGAGGAACCAUUGAUUCACACAAUUGGUCAUUGUGCUUAGUUGAAAAGCCAGUGGGGCGAAGCAACCAUGUGCUGGAUUAUGACUAAAUACCUGUAAGUCAGAAUCAGUGAUAGAAGUAAUGCAUGCACCCGCUGUCGACUUACCAACCCGUAGUAGGGGCCUCGGCCCCCAAAGAAACAUAUCGCUGGCUAAGCCAUCACAAUGAAAGGGUCGCCCUGUCUGCCUUGAAGUACAAUUUUCAUUGAGCAAUAGGUAGAAUCCUUUGCAGACAACUUAAAUACAUCACGGUGUAUUGUAAAUGAAAGAGUGGCCUUACUGACACGAUCCACUGAUAUUU
rnacentral:rRNA from 1 species